AGAGACAGUUGCGCGAUUUAUUAAGAAUUUAUUAAUCGCUUUUAAUUAAUUUGCUGCCAGGUGUUGUUGAAAUAUCACAUGGAGAGCGUUCUUUGCUAGGAAAUACCUGGCAACAUGUCUUCAUUAUAUCACACGCAGUGGAUAAAUUAAUCUCAAUACAACAGCCAAAACAAGCACUUCUCCUCUGAUGGCCUCCUUACAACAGUUAAGACUUCUUCUCUGGAAAAAUGGCCUGGGUGUCAUCCGGCAGCCAGCUUGGUCGCUGGCUCUCCUUAUCUGGCCUCUUGUGAUCUUUAUCAUCUUGGCCAUCACCCGUACACAGUUCGCUCCAAUCCUCAAAGAACCAUGUGUGUACCUCUCUCAAACAUCAUCCUAUAUAUAGACUACAAGAGAAAGUCAAAUAAAUGUGUCAAUAUCUCACAUUAUCUAGUGUUUAAUGAUAAUGUUUUAGUGUUUUGAGCUGAGAGUCCAAUGGGAGUUUUCUAGUUUUGGAGAUCCCUCGAGGAUCAGGUUGUUAUGUCUGGUCUUUCCCGUAAGUCGCUCCCUCUUGCCUUGCGGUGUGCUGUUCAGGUAAACCCAGUGUUUAUCUAUCUGUAUAUCCAUCAUACUGUAAGUAACUCAAAACACAUUUCAUAACAUCAGUAAACUAAUGCUUAAACUUAGUGGUCAACCAUUUUGGCAUCAGUGCUAGUUCUAGUUGAUGUAUUUGCCUUAAUAUUUACAUUUGAAAGGUACUUACUGUUUAGGUGACGGUGUGAAUAGGUGCUAGUUGUGAAAGAGGUUUUCUAUUCUUAGAAGACAAUGCCUUUGUUACUUGAUUUUCCCACCAUGUGAUUCUUACAUUGAUUAGCUCAAGCAACAUGAUGAAGUAAAGAACCCAAGUGUUAUUGGUACAGAAGUGACAAAGAAAUAUAAUAGACGAUAAUCCCAAGAUAAAAGUAGAGAAUAAAUAUUUUUGCAAAUGUUUACCUCACAAUACUAUAUUGAUAUUCUCAUGCCAAUGGACAAUAUUUUUAUUUAAAGAUGCACUCAGUACUGGUAAUUUUUUCUUUUGUUGUCCUGGACUUGGACACUGACAUCUAUCGGCAUGGAUGCAGCAUCAUUCAAACGCAAUAGAUUUCAGUUACCAAGGUGUAUUCAGCAUUGUUUUCAUCAUUAAAUAAGCGUUACUCCUUUAAAACAUUUAUUGUAAAUUUAAAAUCUAUGUAUAAAAUCAUGAGCAUUUACAUGAAAAUGAAGACUCCAGUCAUUUCAGUGACCAUAUAAAAGCUGUUUUCAUUCUAUAUGGAGAGGGUCUCAUAAUUGGGGCUGCCAUGUUAAGAUCACAUGGCCAGCCGAAUACUACUCGCUUAAUCUCAGCAACCAGCCUGUAAUUGGACACUUGUAACAUUAGCUCAAUCCACUCAAAUAUUUAUAUUUAAACAAAAUCAAAACUCAGAACUAGCUAAGAAUAUAACUGCAUAAACGCUGAAGUGUGCAAAGCAGAUAAAAGAGAAACAAGUGAGUAAAAGAUCACAAUGACCACAUUUACAUGCACUUAAAGUGUUUUAUUCCAGGGAUUUUUGUAGUACCGGUAAGUGGUAUUCUGAAACGUCAUGUAAACGAGAAUUCAAUUACCUACCAAAAUUGCUGAAUGAAACACACAAAGAA